UACGGAGGGUGCAAGCGUUAUCCGGAUUCACUGGGUUUAAAGGGUGCGUAGGCGGAUAGGUAAGUCCGUGGUGAAAUCCUGCAACUUAACUGCAGAACUGCCAUGGAUACUAUUUAUCUUGAAUGUCGUGGAGGUUAGCAGAAUAUGUCAUGUAGCGGUGAAAUGCUUAGAUAUGACAUAGAAUACCCAUUGCGAAGGCAGCUAACUACGCGAUAAAUUUGACGCUGAUGCACGAAAAGCGUGGGGGAUCAAACAGG
rnacentral:rRNA from 1 species